GGGUCAGUAGGUUGGUCGUGCCACCGGUACGUACUGGUCUCACUGAUUCCUCCUUCCUGAAUAACCGUAAUGCCAUUAAUUUGGUGUUGCGGGGAAACAGGACUGUUACUUUGAAAAAAUUAGAGUGUUUAAAGCAAGCUAACACUUGAAUACAUUAGCAUGGAAUAAUGAAAUAGGACGAUCGAUCCUAUUUUGUUGGUUUCUAGGAUUGACGUA
rnacentral:rRNA from 1 species